GCUCCAGGCUCUGAGCUGUCAGCGCAGAGCCCGACACGGGGCUCGAACCCACAAACCAUGAGAUCAUGACCUGAGCUGAAGUUGGAUGCUUAACCAACUGAGCCACCCAGGCUUCCCUACACCUUUGAAUUUCAACAGGGUGCUCUCAUGCUCAUUAGUGGAACCCACAGUUGAGAACUCUUUACUGUGAUGUAAUAAUAUUGCAUUGUGACUGCAGAAGGGCACAGUUGGGUUCAAGGCCACGGUUGGCUUUGGUGAGUGGAGGUUUUGGCUCAGCUCUUAAAACCAUGAGAUUCCCUUUUCUCUGACAGUAAGAUUAGCCCUGCCAAAUCAUAAAUGAUUGCAGACCAAGACUUUUAGUGAAAGGAAAAUCUUAUGUAGAUAAGAUGAGUUUUGAAUUCCUAAAAACUAGGAAUUCAACUCAUACAAAAUCAGUGUCUUUUGGGAAAAUGGCUCCUUUCUCGACCACUUCUGAAUUCUCCCUCUGUUGUCUGGAUCAUGAGGUUCAAUAAAGACUCAGGUGCAAAGAUGGGGCUCACGUGUCAUAGGUAGGGCUCCGCAGGACCCAGACCUGUUUCCCUCAACUAUUUGCUUGUCUGUUAAGAAACCUAAUAGGAUCAAAGGAUGAUUUGUUUUAAAGCAGGUUAAUAGAGUGAAUAAUAAGAAAACUACAACAGACUGGAAUGUUGUGCUGCAAUCUACAAAUCAGUUUUUCUUCCAUCAUGCUAUUUACUGCUCAUAAUCAAGCAUGUGGUUCUAUAUUUUCAUGUGUCAGACUUUAUCCCUACAAAAGUUGCUGAAACACAAGUCUUAACUGAUGUUCCUAGAGCUGAACAUAUGAGAAGGCAGUGAAACUGACCGGCGUACUCCUUACCAGUGGGGCACAGGGCUUUCCAAGCCUACCGUGCAAACCAGCAGAUACUUGGAUCAAACAUUAAGCAUCUUUUUCAGAAAGUAGAAAUCCUAGUUCAAGCAGUCCUGGGACUCAGACCUCAAAUAACUUCUUCGGUGAUGGGAGGAGACAAAAUCAGAUUGGGUUCACAACCCAUAGCUGGUCUUCUGUAGGGACAUGCAGAAUCCAAAGUCCCAGUCUAAUCAUGAGAAAAACAUCAGACAAACUCCAAAGAAGGGAUGUUCUAGAAAAUACCUGAUCAGUACUCCUCAAAACUGUCAACAUCGUUAAAAACAAGGCAAAUCUGAGACCCACAGCCAAGAGGAGCCUAAGGAGACAUGAAGAAUGACUGUAAUGUGACAUACUAGAAAGAUCCUGGAACAGGAAAAGGACCCUAGGUAUAAACUAAGGAAAUCUGAAUAAAGUAUGGGUUUUGGUAA